CCCAAACUACGGCCCGCGGGCCGCAUACGGCCCGCCUCCACAUUUGACCCGGCCCCCUGAACAAUACAGAGACGGAAAAAAGGCUAAUGGUUAUGGUAAAAUGGUUGUGUCAUACAAGUAAUUACGACUGCUCGACGGAUCGCGGUCCCUUUAAAUGUUCUGUUGUUGUUGAUGACGUAGAGCCCGUUGAUAGGGAGAUUACAGGGCUGCGCCAUCUUGUUUUUUCAUCCGUUGUGAAAAAUAAACGAGACACACGCUUGUUCUCAACUUUCUCUGUGGAAUGCAACUUCCACAAUAAUGGCAAAACGGUGUGGUAAGAGAACAAUUGAUUCAGAAUGCAGGGUAUUUAACCCGCAGUGGACACAUGAUUACUUUUUUGUUCAGUUGGGUAAUGUGUAUGCCCAGCUGCAGCAGAAGACUAAAGAUUUUCAGUUUUUUUCAUUAGCACUGGAUGAGAGCACGGACGUGCAGGACACCGCGGAGCUUCUUAUUUUUAUUCGUGGAGUUAACACAAACUUUGAGAUGUGCGAGGAGUCUUUGUGACGGGAUUCAUAAUGUCGGCGCAGGUUGUAUUCUUUGAAUACCGCCACUGUCUCUUGACAGACGAGACAAACAGCCUUUUCUUUCAACUGAACAAAAAAGUAAUCAUGUUGCCGACAUCGAUGAAGCCCAGCCUUCGUAUCAGUUUGAGCUGGCCGAGUUACAGAACUGUGAUGUUCUGAAAGACGCAUUCAAGCCCAACAGUCUCAUUGACUUCUAUGCUGCCCUCCCAAAUGACACCUACCCUAACAUAAAACAACACGCAAUGAAGAUGUCCACACUUUUUGGCAGCACGUAUAUCUGCGAGCAAACCUUUUCACGCAUGAAACUCCUGAAAACUCCAACAAGAUCAAGAUUGACAGAUGAACAUUUGCAUCAGUGUUUGAGACUGGCUGUGACUAGAAUGGAACCGGACAUUCAACUUCUCUCCAGCCAGAUGCAGGCCCACAGUUCACACUGAUGAACACACAGUACAUAGAGGGAAGUUGAUGAGAGGGAGCCUACAGUGGUGUCUACUGGGCUAGCCUAUGGAACCUACAAAGAACACAAGAACUUUGAGAGACAUUUGAGAUUCUGCUGUGACAAGUGAAGUUUACCUUUUAUCUAGGAUUGUGCAUGGCACAGCAUAACUUUCUUUCUGUGAAGAACCCAGAGAGGGUUAUUUGAUCUCAGAAAGGGUUAUUAAUAUUUGGAUAUGUGUGGUGCGCUGGAGUGUCAGCAUGUUUUCUGGAAAACAAUAAAUUAUUACAUUUAGGGA